rnacentral:rRNA from 1 species
CAGGCCUAACACAUGCAAGUCGAACGCACCUUCGGGUGAGUGGCGGACGGGUGAGUAACACGUGGGAACGUGCCCUUUGGUUCGGAAUAAUCCGGGGAAACCUGGCCUAAUACCGGAUGUGCCCUUCGGGGGAAAGAUUUAUCGCCAUUGGAGGGGCCCGCGUCGGAUUAGGUAGUUGGUGGGGUAACGGCCUACCAAGCCAUCGAUCCGUAGCUGGUCUGAGAGGACGACCAGCCACACUGGGACUGAGAUACGGCCCAGACUCCUACGGGAGGCAGCAGUGGGGAAUAUUGGACAAUGGAGGAAACUCUGAUCCAGCCAUGCCGCGUGAGUGAUGAAGGCCUUAGGGUUGUAAAGCUCUUUGAGUAGGGAAGAUAAUGACGGUACCUACAGAACAAGCCCCGGCUAACUUCGUGCCAGCAGCCGCGGUAAUACA